AUGGUUGUUUUGUGCUCUUUGCUAGAAGAAAGUUUCAGCUGGUGCUCUUCCUGUGCAGUGACAAAUGCACAGGAAUUCAGUGAUAAACUCCCUGUGUGCAGUGGGGACCACCCUGAAAGGUUUGCCUUGGGAUGGACCAUGAAGAUCAUCUUAUUCAAACCUGAGCUACCUCCCAGCAGACCUGGUUGCUCAGAAUCCUGUUCCCUCUGCCCUUGGAUGUUCCCAGGGAUGGGACAUCCACAGCUUGUGUGCACAACCUGGGUCUGUGCCUCACCACCCUCUGCAAAACAACAGCUUCCUUUUAGCCUGAAUCAACCUCCUGCAGCUGAAAGCCAUCCCCCUUCUCCUCCCACCACAGACCCUGUUGAACACUCUGUCCCCAUCUUUCCUAUGGGACCCUUCAAGCCCUGCAUGGCUGCAGUGAGUGCCCCCCAUGGCCAUGUCCAGAGCAUCCCCAACUCUUCCAGCCUUUCCUCAGAGCAGAGGGGCUCCAGCCCUUGCAGCUCUCCCUCUGCCCUCAGUCCAACACCUGCAGGUCCUUCCUGUGCUCAGGACCCCAGAGCUGGAGGCAUGGAUAGGUCCUGGGGGGGGCUGCAGUUUCAUGGGGAGCAGAGGGGAAAUUUGUGUUAUCCCCUGAAAGGAACUGAAUGCGCUCUGGUGCUGAGGGAUAAAAGCAAGAGAGUGGAGACUGCCCUGGGCAGAGUCCUGCAGUCAGGAGCAGUUCUUAGUGAAGUCUGCAGGGAUCCAUCAGGAGCAGAUCCUGGGUGUCCCUUUGCUCAGCACCCACCCCAGAGCAGCUGCAAUGGGCACCUUGGCCAGGCUGGGGGUGCACACCCAGCUCAGCUCCCUGCGCCCCUACAGGCACAGGCUCCAAAGCAAGCCCUGCCCAUGGGGACACAGUGUCCGUGCCACACUGGCUGCCUCCAGCUGAGGCUGGGCCUGCAGCACCCUGGGAUGCCACACAACAAAGAUUUUCCCAAAGGAUUUCUGGAUCCUGGGGACAGGAGCUGCUGCAAAAGCCACAGACCCCACUUCUGA
rnacentral:lncRNA from 1 species